UGUUAAGGGAUGGGAAUCGAACCCACGACCUUCCGCUUACCGGGCAGAUGCCAUGACCACUAGGCUACCCUGGAC
rnacentral:tRNA from 1 species